UACGAAGGUCCCAAGCGUUAUCCGGAUUCAUUGGGCGUAAAGGGUGCGUAGGCGGCGCGGUAGGUCGGGUGUGAAAUCUCGGAGCUUAACUCCGAAACUGCAUUCGAUACUGCCGUGCUUGAGGACUGGAGAGGAGACUGGAAUUUACGGUGUAGCGGUGAAAUGCGUAGAUAUCGUAAGGAAGACCAGUGGCGAAGGCGGGUCUCUGGACAGUUCCUGACGCUGAGGCACGAAGGCCAGGGGAGCAAACGGG
rnacentral:rRNA from 1 species